rnacentral:rRNA from 1 species
UACGGAGGCCCCAAGCGUUGUUCGGAUUUAUUGGGCGUAAAGGGUGCGUAGGCGGCAUCUUAAGUCUGGUGUGAAAGGCGCGGGCUCAACCUGCGGACUGCAUUGGAUACUGGGAUGCUGGAGGACUGGAGAGGAGGAUGGAAUUCACGGUGGAGCAGUGAAAUGCGUAGAUAUCGUGAGGAAGGCCAGUGGCGAAGGCGAUUCUCUGGACAGUACCUGACGCUGAGGCACGAAGGCUAGGGGAGCGAACAGG